GCUCUUCCCCAGGAUGUGAUGGAAGCCAGUACCCAACAGCACCUAAAACCCUGGAUAAAUCCAAGUCUCCACUUUCUCCACGCCUGCCCUCAGGGAUUAAGUGACCGCUGAAGAAAAUUACACAAUUGGGCAAAUUCAAGACCACCAAUUUCACAGUCCCUUCUGCACUGUCUGGCACACUGUGUUUCCCUAGUCCACUUGCCCUCCAACACUCAACACUACUUCAAACCUUGUUUCCUUGUACUCAAGGCGUCAAUUUCCUUACUUCCCCCCUUACUCUCAGCAAAUAACCUCUCCUUCAAGGAAAAAAAAGCUAAAGCUUUCACGUAAAAUCUUCC
rnacentral:lncRNA from 1 species